GAUAUUUGGAGUUUAGAUAAAUGUCCAGAAGUCUGAAAACUUCUCCACAUUUUUGGAAGCCCUUUAUGAGGCUCAGCAUCCUUCCAUCCUUCACAAAAUGCUUUAUUUGAACUUUCUCUCUAUAGCUGUAGCUGUCUUCUUGGGGUGCGGACUUCAUUAGUGUGUUAGGGUGAUAACAUGAGGUUCCCCUUUUGAAGAGUAUAGGGCUCUUUCUCUCUCAUCUGACAUUAUGAAAGGGGGAACGAUGUCGAGCUUUUCUCCUCCUCUUCCUACUUUUUUCUUCUCUCUGUAGACAUUCCCUCUGUUUUCUGCCUUCUGAAAUUCUCCCAUUUCUCCCCCGUCUCAUCUUUGCUUUCCAUUUGUCUGUUUUUUCUGUUUUGAUGCUGUUCUGUCAUUGCCCUGCUCAGAGAGUGUUGAUGCCCGUGAUGUGGCUAUGUUAACUCUGGCUGACUCUGCUCUUCUCCCUCUCCUGCCUUAGCUGCUCCACUAAUGUCUGGGUAUGGAGAGUGGCUGAGGAAGGGAGGAGUAUACAUUCAACCAUGGACUUUCUACUUACUCUGCAUAGUGAUCAACCUUUUUUCUUCCUCUUAUAUUUUUCUUUUUAAAUAAAUCCUUAGACAAUCCAAGAUUCUUGUUGGGAAUGAAACAGCUAGGACAGAAAAUAUAAUUUCAAGAAUUGUUACUGACAUAACUGUGACAGAUGAGAGAAGCGUGGAAAAUUCAGAAGUCUGUUAUAUUGAGAGAUGCAGAUGCUAUAGUCAAAAGGAUUAUUUCAUAAGCAUGUUUAUCUUUUAAAUGUUAUAAAUAUCCUUGUGAGCUAGGGAUUGUAUUCUAGCUCCAUGGGGGGAAGGUUACCGAGUUUCCCCCAACAGCUAAAAUCAUUGGUGAACCCCUGCAAAUUCCUGGACAGAUAAACAAUUCAAAAGCAGUACCACCCCCUAGGAGAAUUGCAUAUACAGGUUCAGAUAGGGUUCAAAAGGCUAAGAGACAAAGAAAGGGUGUUUGGUAUAAUGGGUCAUCACAAACUGACUCAGAGUCCCUCAUGGUCCAGAAACUGACAUGAGACUGUAACCCAAGAGGCCAAAAACCCUACUGAAAGGGUUUGAAGCACCUGGAAGCUGCCAGUGUGGCUCUGUGGAAGAUGAGUGACACUUGGUAAGCUUAGCAACCAGGUAGAAUGUUUAUUGUUUUAUUUAUAUGUUUUCUUUUUAAUGCUUUUGUACUAAAUAAACGUACUGUGCUUUGUGAAAUCUGGUAACCACCCUUGGGAGAGAACCACCCACCCAGCCACCCUUGGGAGAGAACAGAAUAGCAGGCUCUAGUUAUUGAGGUCAUACCUGUUGGUAUAGUCACAGUGAAUUUCAGGGGAACUACAAGCCUAAAUCUCUGGUCUGGAAGAAGGGGGAUGCAAAUUCCUGCUCACAGAGAGGUGAUGGCUUGAGGCCAGAGACCUCUAAACAUAAACUAUGCAAGGGGUCAGAGGUGCAUUUAGCCCUGGAACUGUGACAGUAACGGAAAAAGUAUAGGUUGGAUGAAUUAGGUAAGUAGUAACAGGUUUAGGAAUAUUGUGUUUAGGGUAGAAUGAAAAGUCUUUUUCCUGUAGAUACUAGACAUAGUAGCUUGAUCUUGUAAUUUCGGAAUUACAAGGUAGACUGAUUUUUGUAGCAGUAAAACUCUUGAAAAUGUC